UACUCAUUACUUUGCUGCUGCGAUGACUGUGCAGCCAUAGCCUUUAUCGCAGUUAAUGGUAUAAACCUGUUUUACUUUGCAGCCC
rnacentral:tRNA from 1 species